UUUUAUAUAAAAAAAUUGAUUUUUGAGUCAAAAAGUUCAAAUAAAAUUAGAGGACGAGAAGACCCUAUAGAGCUUUACUUUUUGUUUUAUAUUUUGUUUAUGGUAAAUAAUUUUUAGGUAUGACUUAAAGAGUUUUGUUGGGGUGACAAAAAAAAAUUCAUAACUUUUUUUAUUUUUUUCACUUAUGUGUGUAUAUUUGAUCCUGUAUUAUGGAUAUAAGAUUAAGCUACCUUAGGGAUAACAGCGUUAUUGUCUUAGAGAGUUCAUAUCGAUAGGAUAGUUUGCGACCUCGAUGUUGGAUUAAAAUUAGUGUCAGGGGUAGAAUAUUGAUUACUAGGUC
rnacentral:rRNA from 1 species